GCAAAUUGCAGUUACAGUGAUCAGCAGUUCUACUUUUAUAGAGGAGGUCAUCCUAGGCAACCUUGGACAGUAAAGAAGUUCUUCAAUAGAGAAAUGUCUUGCUGGUUGUUGUCCAUCUUGACGAUGAGUCUAUGUUCUUCUCUCCAACAAUAACUUUCCUGAAUUAAAGGAGGCAUGAUCUUCAUUUUUUUUAAUUUUUUUUUAUGCAUGUCAACUGGCAAUGCAGACAGCAUGGG
rnacentral:lncRNA from 1 species